GUCACAUCCUCUUUCCGUUGCUCCUCUCGCUUUGAGAAACUUCUCCUCACGAUGAGAGCCAAGGUGAGUAAACCAUCAAAUAUCUGUUAUUUGUGAUUUAUACUCUUCCUGUUUCACUCAAUGUUGCUCACUAGCAUCCGAAUAGCACCACCUCGGCCUCUUUGUCGUAUAUUCACUGCAAAUGUUUAUUUAACCGUGCCCUGUCAUGCUUACGUUUUUAAAUGUAAAUCUGACCUUAAAGUAAAUUUAAAACUUUUGAAAUUGGGAAAUUUAAUGCCACUGCGCACGGAAGGCCCUCUUUCGUUGCAUGUGCUAAUGGUCGCAAUGGGAACGUCCACACUCCGAUGUGUUUAUGGCCACAGUUCCACUCUAAGUGUUUGACUAACAUUAGUGUUCACUUCAUUUCACCGUAGUACCACUUCAGUUGAAUUCUGCGUAGUUUGUGUGCAGCGUGCUGUUAAGCGGGUGCGCCGGAGUGGCGCACGUGACUACAGUUUUUGUAUUAUAAUAAAUAUCCAUCUUGUCUUUCAGUGGAGGAAGAAGCGUAUGCGCAGGCUGAAGCGUAAAAGGAGAAAGAUGAGGCAGAGGUCCAAGUAGAUCUUCUCCCUGCCAGCUGUGAUUCCCGUCGGCGCUUCUCCAGUUGACUGACUCUGGUUUAAGUGGAGCCUCCAUCAGUGGACCCGAAGCCCAAGCCGUGAUUUCUGAUGACUGCGCAUCUCAUGGACACUUCUGUGGAUGGCUGAUUGGAAAAGGCAAAGACGCUGGACUAUCGACAUAAGAACAGCAGCUACAUUGUUCACGGAUCAUUACACAUAUUUACCAACUGUCAUGUGGUGAUGAACAAUAAACGAACACUGUUUAAAACUUAACACUGUUAACUCUUGAUUCCAACUAUUUACCUAUUGGUAAAGCUCUUGUUUGACUGGCAGUAUGAAAAAUUGGCGUUGCCAGUUCUAGAUUGAGUCGCCCUUGCAUUUGUAAACUUGAUACAAGGGGCGACACUAAACAUUAGUUGGUAUUCUGUAUACAUAGUCCAUACUUUAGUCAAUGUACAGACUGGCUAAAUUUAAAUGUCAACCUAGCUUUUAAUGGUAACUUCUAAUUUAGAAUAACUGAGGCUUACAGCAGGGAAACUAGCUUGGCAGUCUUUAAGCUCUUUUGCCAAUUUGGCUUUAUCCCAUGGUGUGUUGAUCAAACAAAUAUUGGGUGCCUUAAAAAUCCUUCUCUUGGAAUCAAUUAUAAAUCCCUGGAUUUCCC
ensembl:lncRNA